GAUGAACGCUGGCGGCGUGCCUAAUACAUGCAAGUCGAGCGAACGGACGAGAAGUUUGCUUCUCUGAUGUUAGCGGCGGACGGGUGAGUAACACGUGGAUAACCUACCUAUAAGACUGGGAUAACUUCGGGAAACCGGAGCUAAUACCGGAUAAUAUUUUGAACCGCAUGGUUCAAAAGUGAAAGACGGUCUUGCUGUCACUUAUAGAUGGAUCCGCGCUGCAUUAGCUAGUUGGUAAGGUAACGGCUUACCAAGGCAACGAUGCAUAGCCGACCUGAGAGGGUGAUCGGCCACACUGGAACUGAGACACGGUCCAGACUCCUACGGGAGGCAGCAGUAGGGAAUCUUCCGCAGUGGGCGAAAGCCUGACGGAGCAGCGCCGCGUGAGUGAUGAAGGUCUUCGGAUCGUGAAACUCUGUUAUUAGGGAAGAACAUAUGUGUAAGUAACUGUGCACAUCUUGACGGUACCUAAUCAGAAAGCCACGGCUAACUACGUG
rnacentral:rRNA from 1 species